AGAACGAACGCUGGCGGCAUGCCUAAUACAUGCAAGUCGAACGAACACUUCGGUGUUAGUGGCGCACGGGUGCGUAACGCGUGGGAAUCUGCCCUUGGGUUCGGAAUAACAGUUGGAAACGACUGCUAAUACCGGAUGAUGACGAAAGUCCAAAGAUUUAUCGCCAUUGGAGCGGCCCGCGUAGGAUUAGCUAGUUGGUGAGGUAAAAGCUCACCAAGGCGACGAUCCUUAGCUGGUCUGAGAGGAUGAUCAGCCACAUUGGGACUGAGACACGGCCCAAACUCCACGGGAGGCAGCAGUGGGGAAUCUUGCGCAAAUGGGCGAAAGCCUGAGCAGCCAUGCCGCGUGAAUGAUGAAGGUCUUAGGAUUGUAAAAAUUCUUUCACCGGGGACGAUAAUGACGGUAACCCGGAGAAAGAAGCCCCGGCUAACUUCGUGCCAGCAAGCCGC
rnacentral:rRNA from 1 species